UACGAAGGGAGCGAGCGUUGUUCGGAAUCACUGGGCUUAAAGCGUGCGUAGGUGGAUUGGUAAGUAAGGAGUGAAAUCCCAGGGCUUAACCCUGGAACUGCUCUUUAGACUGCCUGUCUGGAAUUCGGAAGGGGUUGGUGGAACUCCCAGUGUAGAGGUGAAAUUCGCAGAUAUUGGGAAGAACACCGGUGGCGAAGGCGACCAACUGGUCCGACAUUGACACUGAGGCACGAAAGCGUGGGUAGCAAACAGG
rnacentral:rRNA from 1 species